GGAUUGUUGGUCUAGGGGUAUGAUUCUUGCUUAGGGUGCCAGAAGUCCUGGGUUCAAAUCCCAGAAGACCCC